UUUCGCAGAUAACUAGUGAUAGGACAAGAGGGAAUGGCCUCAAGUUGCACCAGGGGAGGUUUAGAUUGGAAAUGAGGUGACAUUUGUUCUUAGAAAGAGUAGUUAGGCAUUGGAAUGGUUUGCCCAGGGAGAUGUGGUGGAGUCACCAUCCCUGAGGGUGUUUAAGGAGAGGUUGGGCUUGAUGCUUAGGGACACAGUUUUGUGAGUGACAUUGGUAGUAGGGUGAUGGUUGGACCAGAUGAUCUUGGAGGUCUUUUCCAACUUUGAUAAUUCUAUGAUUCUUUGAUUCUAUGAUCUCCACUUCCAAGGCUCCCUUUCUUGGAAACUCACCAGACGAAACCAGAUAGUGUAUCAGACUAAAAGCCAGCUGCAAUUUUGCUGAAAACAGUGGAAAGUUGUGAGAAUUAAAGUUGUGUUUUUGCAGUGGAAAAUUCCACUAACCUUGCUUAUUCAGAAGUCAUUUUUCAGGCAUAACAGUGGCGUAACAGUGGGGAGUAUGUUAAGCAGAUCAAGAGACAGUGGAAGGUUCCACUGUUCCAAAAUAAGGAGGAUGGCUAAGAAAAACAAGACAAGCAGUUGUGGAAUCAGCAAGAAGAAAAAAAACACGGGCCCUUCCAGCCAAGAGAGAAGAAGAAAAAAGGGGAAAAGGAGAUAUUAAAGCCUUCAUUUCUGCAGCUACAACUGCUUGUGGAGUCAUGUCAAACUCAAUUACUGAACUGAUUCCACUUAGAGAUAGCCUUCUGAGAUAAGAUAAAAUAAACCAUGGGUCUGAGCAACACAGAACCAGGCAAGAUAGGAGCCCCUCCCUUCAACUUCACUUCAAAGCGAAAAGAAACAUUUCAGCUCAUUUUUCAUUGGUUCUUGGACUAGAUGACGGGGAUGAAGAACUUGAGUGGUGACAGCAAAGAAUAAGAACUGAUUCAGACAGAAGAGAAUGCCCUCAAACUUGUGUGAAAGAUAUAGUAGAGGCAAAGAGAACAUGUCCAGUGCUGCUAAGGAGUAAUGCUGUUUCGUCAGUCCUGCAUCACCAGUCUGCAGCAAAACCAAUGGCAGCAUCAACACCAAGAUAACCAGGCUGAUCACGUACCACCCCACUUCCCUCACUUCUCAGAACUAUGGUAAGAACAUUUGCUCAUGAAUAUUGUCAAAGCCCAGGUGCUGGGUUGCCAGGAUGUAGUGAAACCCAUUGUGGAACAGGGAAACUUAACCACAUAUGAAAUAUUGCAUGUCAAAUCAAGCAGCUGCAAGUCCUCAGUGGGACUUCAGACUGGAAUUGCUGCUGGAUGGCAAACUCCCUGAUCCUCAGGAAUGCCUCCACCAUUGUCCUCUUCCUCUGAGGACUGAGAGAUUGACUUGUGUUUUUCUAGUCGAGUUCCAAGUCUAGAUUAUGGUUAUAGUAUUGUGCACUGAUUAUUCAGAAUUUGACCUGUUAUGCAGAGGGUCCAGGUGACUAACAAUUCUAGAUGACUAAAAACUGCAGAUAAUAAUAAAACCAUGCUAAUUACUAAAAUUGAUGUGUAUAAAUAACCUGCAUUAUUUACUAAAGAAAAAGUAUAACGACAAGCUGUGCUGAUUGUUAAUAUUUUUAUGCAAUAAUAAAGCUCUAGUUAUAACCACAACCCUGUGGCCAGUCCUCAUUCUACCCAGGAUCCCUAAAAAAACCUGCCUGUCCCCGUAGUGUUGUAUGACAGACAUUUUGCCUGUAUUUCCAUAAUCUGACAUAAUGAUUCAGCAAGUAAUCAAGACUCCAGAUCCAUGAUCCAAGCCAGUUUGGGCCACUUAAAUGAGUCACAAAGUACUGGUGCUCAUUCUGAGGAAAACAAGCAGUGCCUCAUCAUGUCCUUCAAAUGGGCAAUAUAGCAAUAAUGAGGGAAGAACCUGCUCUAAAUAUAACAAUUCUGGAGGGUCUAGAUGGAUGAUUUUCUGCUAAAGACAAGACAUUUUUAUUUUCGUCCUCCCUAAUUUCCCCAAAGUAUUCAGUACUGUUGCCAUGCCAAAGGGGAUAUACCCUGUGAAUCACACCGGAAAGCUGUGUGUCCAUGUCUAGAUGCCUCAAAUAUAGCUACUCAAAGCUGCUUUCAAAAGCUGUAUGCAAUCUUUAGAUUUCCUGGUCAGAUGUCAUAGAUUCAAGUAUAUUACUGAUGAAGUGCAAUUCUUUCUAUUCCUCAUUGUGUGCAAAA